UUGUUUUAUUCUCGCGAUACAGGUAUAUGUAUCAGAAGCUCUUGGUCUACAGUAUACUCUACAAUAUCCAUACCAUCCCUACAGCCCCCGCUAUCCCCGCUGUCCCCAGCAUCCCACCCCCGACGACCCCGACAGCAACCCCCACCACCGCCCCACUACUAGCCGUAAUCUGCGUAUUCUGACCAACUUCCAACGAAUCCGGAAUCUGCUGAUCAUCCACAUCACUCCAAUCAAUCGAGCUUGUCGACGAGUUAUCCCCUGAAGAGGAAGAAGGGCAGUCGUUUUUCAGGUGGUUGGCGAAUGUUUCGGUUAGGGAUUGGCCGCGGAUGUUGGGGAUUGUGUAUUGCCUAUAGUAUUGGGGGAAGGAAAAGUGGGUUGGCGGUCAGCGGCCAAACCGCGUGUCCUAUUUAGCAAGGGAAGCAGCACAACGUACGCAGCUUUAAACAUCUCAUACAUACAUCCCGUACAUUCAGCCUGCGUGAAAACUGAGUCUUGCCAACGUCCUAUAACUCGACGAAUAAUUAUCCAGCACCGCAUCCAACACGCUCACCAAUGUAUUACUCGUAUCACAAACCGCUGCCAACUGACUCUUGCCAUCUUGCAAAUCACGGCCACUGCACGUUGAGGAACAUACCGUCCGUAGGUAAGUGUCGAGCUGGUCUGAGAAACCUUGCCCCCCGGAAGCGAUGGAAGAAGAAGAAGAAGAAGAAGGGUUGGAGAUGACGUUAGCGAGAGAGGUGAGGGCGAGGCAUGAACCGAGCGAAGAGGUGGUCAUGUUGACGAGGGUGAUGAGACAUGACAUGGAAGAGAUUUCGGCAGCUUGGAGGGUUUGGAGAAAGGCGACUUCGUCAGAUGUCGUUGAUGAGGAGGUGGAAGAAGAAGAAGAAGAGGAGGCGGAGGUGGUAGAGCUCGAGUCGCUGCCAAACAAACUGCCUAAAGAAGGGACGGCGAAUAAUAGGGGUACGAGGCAGUAGAUACGCAUGAUUGAAAAGAAAAAAAUAUGAGAUGGAUGAAACAGGUCGCGAAACCGCUCUCGGAGCGUUUAGCUAGAAACAGAAUAGAUCGUAUCAAGGCAGAAAAAGUUUAGGAGGAUGUGAAUGCAAAGGUCGAG
rnacentral:sRNA from 1 species